rnacentral:rRNA from 1 species
ACGAACGCUGGCGGCAGGCUUAACACUUGCAAGUCGAGCGAGACCUUCGGGUCUAGCGGCGGACGGGUGAGUAACGCGUGGGAACGUGCCCUUCUCUACGGAAUAGCCCCGGGAAACUGGGAGUAAUACCGUAUACGCCCUUUGGGGGAAAGAUUUAUCGGAGAAGGAUCGGCCCGCGUUGGAUUAGGUAGUUGGUGGGGUAAUGGCCCACCAAGCCGACGAUCCAUAGCUGGUUUGAGAGGAUGAUCAGCCACACUGGGACUGAGACACGGCCCAGACUCCUACGGGAGGCAGCAGUGGGGAAUCUUAGACAAUGGGGGCAACCCUGAUCUAGCCAUGCCGCGUGAGUGAUGAAGGCCUUAGGGUUGUAAAGCUCUUUCAGCUGGGAAGAUAAUGACGGUACCAGCAGAAGAAGCCCCGGCUAACUCCGUG